CCUACGGGAGGCAGCAGUGGGGAAUAUUGCGCAAUGGGGGAAACCCUGACGCAGCAACGCCGCGUGAAGGAAGAAGGCCUUCGGGUUGUAAACUUCUUUGAUUGGGGACGAAGGAAGUGACGGUACCCAAAAAACAAGCCCCGGCUAACUACGUGCCAGCAGCCGCGGUAAUACGUAGGUGGCGAGCGUUGUCCGGAAUUACUGGGUGUAAAGGGCGUGUAGGCGGGGAAGCAAGUCAGAUGUGAAAUUCCGGGGCUCAACCUCGGGGUUGCAUUUGAAACUGUUUUUCUUGAGUGCAGGAGAGGAAAGCGGAAUUCCUAGUGUAGCGGUGAAAUGCGUAGAUAUUAGGAGGAACACCAGUGGCGAAGGCGGCUUUCUGGACAGUAACUGACGCUGAGGCGCGAAAGCGUGGGGAGCAAACAGGAUUAGAUACCCUGGUAGUCCACGCCGUAAACGAUGGAUACUAGGUGUAGGAGGUAUCGACCCCUUCUGUGCCGGAGUUAACACAAUAAGUUCCCA
rnacentral:rRNA from 1 species